CCUACGGGUGGCAGCAGUGAGGAAUAUUGGUCAAUGGGCGGAAGCCUGAACCAGCCAAGUAGCGUGCGGGAUGAAGGCCCUACGGGUCGUAAACCGCUUUUGCACGGGGAUAACACCCUCCACGUGUGUAAGUCUGCAGGUACCGUACGUAUAAGGGCCGGCUAAUUCCGUUCCAGCAGCCGCGGUAAGACGGAGGGCCCGAGCGUUAUCCGGAUUCAUUGGGCUUAAAGGGAGCGUAGGCGGGCGUUCAAGUCAGCUGUAAAAUCGCGCGGCUCAACCGCGCCCCGCAGUUGAAACUGGACGCAUUGAGUUCACAACAGGCAGGUGGAAUUCGGGGUGUAGCGGUGAAAUGCAUA
rnacentral:rRNA from 1 species